GGGUAGGUAAACCGUAACUGGUAGCGGGCCAGACUGUAAAUCUGGUGUCUUCGGACUCUGAGUGUUCAAGUCACUCCCUGCCCA
rnacentral:tRNA from 1 species